CGCCGGGCGGGAGAGGAGCGGAGCAGUGGUCGGAGAUGUGGCGACCGUUGCAGCUUUGCCAUUUCCACUCUGCUCUGCUGCACAGCAGGCAGAAGCCCUGGCCGUCCCCUGCUGCGUUCUUCAGGAGAAACGUCAGGGUCCUUCCUCCAAGGUUCUCGAGCCCCACACCCCUGUGGAGGAAGGUGCUCUCCAGCGCGGUAGUGGGGGUGCCCCUGCUCCUCGGAGCCCGCUAUGUCAUGGCAGAGGCGCGUGAGAAGAGGAGGAUGCGGCUCAUGGUGGAUGGCAUGGGGCGCUUUGGCAGACCUUGCCUCCCCAGGCCUUGGAGACCCACCCUCCUGGUGUCCUCCUCUCUCCCUAGUGGACCUCAGGCUGUAGGUCUCUGAAGGUCGGCCUGCAGAUCUCCCUGGACUACUGGUGGUGCACCAAUGUUGUCCUUCGAGGGGUGGAAGAGGUUUGUCCUGGCGCCCUGGGCAUGAGGUGGUGGGCACGAGUUGGUGGGCUGGGUGGGACUGAGGAGGCAGCCACCUGUCGCCAUGUGUUCUCCCAUGCCUGGUCAGAACAGCCCGGGCUACUUGGAGGUGAUGUC
rnacentral:sRNA from 1 species